rnacentral:rRNA from 1 species
ACUACCUGAGUUACGUAUGAUUACCUGCCGAACUUAAGCAUAUCAGUAAGCAGAGGAAAAGAAACAAACGUGGAUUCCCUUAGUAACUGCGAGUGAAAAGGGAGAAGCCCAGCGCUUAAGGUUUUCGUCUGUUUGGACGACGACCGGUGUAGCGUAUAGAACUUUCGUUUAACAACUAUCGGCUGGUCUAAGUUUUGCUGGAAAGCGACGGCAUAGACGGUUUUACCCCGGUAUGGUCGGCUGUGGUUGUUAAGUGGUUGUUCUUGGAGUCGGGUUGUUUGGUAACGCAGCCCAAAGAGGGUGGUAAACUUCACCUAAGGCUAAAUAUGACCGCGAAUCCGAUAGAAAACAAGUACCGUGAGGAAAGU